rnacentral:rRNA from 1 species
GCCCAGCCGUAAACAAUUUACUUACAUAUUCUAACGCCCGGGCAUUACGAGCAAUGCUUAAAACCCAAAGGACUUGACGGUGUCCCACCCGCCUAGAGGAGCCUGUUCUAUAAUCGAUAACCCCCGCUUCACCUAACCAUUCUUUGUCCAUCAGUCUGUAUACCUCCGUCGGAAGCUUACCAUAUGAACGCUCACAGUAAGCUCAAUGGCCUCUCGCCAGCACGUCAGGUCAAGGUGCAACUUAUAGAAUGGGAAGAAAUGGGCUACAAUUUCUAAAGUAGAAUAAACGAAAGACUGCUUGAAACCACAGUCAUGAAGGAGGAUCUAGUAGUAAAAAGGGAAUAGAGAGCCCCUUUUAACCCGGCACUGGGACGCGUACACACCGCCCGUCACCCUCUUCAACAGUUACUUUUCUCGAUUAUUAACAAAUUAUCCACGUCUU